UAUUGGGCGUAAAGCGCGCGCAGGUGGUUUCUUAAGUCUGAUGUGAAAGCCCACGGCUCAACCGUGGAGGGUCAUUGGAAACUGGGAGACUUGAGUGCAGAAGAGGAAAGUGGAAUUCCAUGUGUAGCGGUGAAAUGCGUAGAGAUAUGGAGGAACACCAGUGGCGAAGGCGACUUUCUGGUCUGUAACUGACACUGAGGCGCGAAAGCGUGGGGAGCAAACAGGAUUAGA
rnacentral:rRNA from 1 species